rnacentral:piRNA from 1 species
UGGUGUGACUACGCCAGCUAUUGGACCA